GCUUAACACAUGCAAGUCGAACGAGUUUUCCGCUUCGGUGGAUUGCUAGUGGCGAACGGGUGAGUAACACGUGGGUGAUCUGCCCCGCACUUUGGGAUAAGCCUGGGAAACUGGGUCUAAUACCGAAUACACCUUGCUGGUUGCAUGACUGGUGGGGGAAAGUUUUCGGACGGUGUGGGAUGAGCCCGCGGCCUAUCAGCUUGUUGGUGGGGUGAUGGCCUACCAAGGCUGCGACGGGUAGCCGGCCUGAGAGGGUGUCCGGUCACACUGGGACUGAGAUACGGCCCAGACUCCUACGGGAGGCAGCAGUGGGGAAUAUUGCGCAAUGGGCGGAAGCCUGACGCAGCGACGCCGCGUGGGGGAUGACGGCCUUCGGGUUGUAAACCUCUUUCGACAGGGACGAAGCGUGAGUGACGGUACCUGUAGAAGAAGCACCGGCCAACUACGUGCCAGCAGCCGCGGUAAUAC
rnacentral:rRNA from 1 species